UACAGAGGGUGCGAGCGUUAAUCGGAAUUACUGGGCGUAAAGCGCGCGUAGGCGGCUUUGCAAGUCGGGUGUGAAAUCCCCAGGCUUAACCUGGGAACUGCACUCGAGACUGCAUCGCUAGAGUAUGGGAGAGGGAAGUGGAAUUUCAGGUGUAGCGGUGAAAUGCGUAGAUAUCUGAAGGAACAUCAGUGGCGAAAGCGACUUCCUGGACCAAUACUGACGCUCAUGUGCGAAAGCGUGGGGAGCAAACAGG
rnacentral:rRNA from 1 species